rnacentral:miRNA from 1 species
GCCGGGCCCCUGGGCUGGGCUGGGCUGGGCAGGCCCUUCUGUGGCCUUGCCCUUCCCGAACCUUCUGCCUCCUCCUCUCCUCCUGUUGCC